rnacentral:rRNA from 1 species
GGUUACAUUCCGAACCCGGAAGUUAAGCUUCUCUGCGCCGAUGGUACUGCACUCGGGAGGGUGUGGGAGAGUAGGUCACCGCCGGAC